AGGAGUGAGCUAAUCAGCUCUUAAACUGAAAAACCUUUCGAUGCAGGCGUGUGAUGGUAGAUAAAAGCUGAAGGGGAGGCAAAAGGGUCAAAUAAAAGUUGCUCUGCAGUCCGCUCCUCCGAGCCCCGCAGCGACCGCAGUGGGGUGAGGUUCCCAAAGCCACUUUCACACCUUCGAUAAUGCACUAGCAAAGAGAAGCCCGGAGAGACUGAAGUUUCCACGGAGGGCACCGUCGGGGAAGGGAGACGUAGCCCGGGAGGACGGAAGGGUUGGGCUCGCUACCUCUGCAGACGGGCGAGCCGGGGCUCCGUCGCUCAGAAGUUUACCAAAAGACCUGCAGCACGAGUUCACAGUAGCACUGGGCGCAAGCCCUGAGCUUGUGCAGUGAGCUGGCGCCCGUUCACCAGUAGCAGCAUGGACAAUGAACAGAAGUAGAUUACAGCGAUGAGAGUGAAGAGCCUCCCGCUGCAAGCAGCUGACCCUAACCAAACCAGGUCAGGCAGAAGUUUACUCCCCAUUUCGCAAGGUCUCAUGCAGAAUCAAACUCCUGAGCCUUUACAAGGCCCACGGUGAUCUGGCCACAGGCAUCUCCCUGACACUAGCCUGGCUGGUCUGUCCUUGUUCGGACUCCUCUAGUCCCUCUAUUCGUGCCAUGGCUCUUGCACAGUCAGCCCAUUUCUGCCUCAGGCUGGACCCUGCAGACUCUUCUCCCGGAUACACAUGGGGCUCCUUCCCUCCAAUCCUUCCCAGUGUGGGCCCAAACGUCACCUUCUCAAUGAGCCUUUCCUGGCUGUCCCAUGAGCCCUCACCUCUUCCCCUCCAGCAUUCUCCACCCGCCUCUCCUGCUUCUGCCCUCUCUUGGCACCCGGUGAUAUGUUCUGUACUUUAUUCUGAUUAUCAUCCCUCAGAAGCUUAAGCAGUUUUUUUCUUUAAUGUUCACCACUGUAUCCCAAAUGCCAGAGUCAGUGUCUACUGCUCGGUAAAUAUCUGGUGAAUAAAAG